CUCCUGAGGUGGAGGUAGACAACUCACCGCCGGAGGCAGUGGUCACCGGGGACCUAGGUCGCCAUCGGAGCUCCUUCCGGAGAUAGUCGUCAGCAUGAGAGUCCGGAGAUAGUCGUCAGCAUGAGAGUCCGGAGAUAGUCGUCAGCAUGAGAGUCCGGAGAUAGUCGUCAGCAGUAGAGUGUCAGCAGUCCGACAGCCAGCAGGCAGCCGGAACGGAAGGCUGCGGCUGUGAGACAGGAUUUGCUUGUUAGUUCGUUUGUUAGAGUGUAUCACAUGGCAGAGUUGCAUGUGUACGGUAGUAUGAGACGCAUUCCAAUCACCCCGAACAAACACUUUCGUACCUGCAUGCCCGCGCGGUGAGAAGGUACGGCGCAUCGCCACGUUUACGAGUGGGUCUUCCGAGUUAGGCAACAUGCG
rnacentral:lncRNA from 1 species